ACAGUGGUGGUUCAGUGGUAGAAUUCUCACCUUCCAAGUGGGAGACCUGGGUUCCAUUCCCAGCCAAUGUG
rnacentral:tRNA from 1 species